CCUACGGGUGGCAGCAGUGGGGAAUAUUGGACAAUGGGCGAAAGCCUGAUCCAGCCAUGCCGCGUGUGUGAAGAAGGCCUUCGGGUUGUAAAGCACUUUCAGUGGGGAAGAAAGCCUUGGGGCUAAUACCCUCGAGGAAGGACAUCACCCACAGAAGAAGCACCGGCUAACUCCGUGCCAGCAGCCGCGGUAAUACGGAGGGUGCGAGCGUUAAUCGGAAUUACUGGGCGUAAAGCGCGCGUAGGCGGUCUGAUAAGCCGGUUGUGAAAGCCCCGGGCUCAACCUGGGAACGGCAUCCGGAACUGUCAGGCUAGAGUGCAGGAGAGGAAGGUAGAAUUCCCGGUGUAGCGGUGAAAUGCGUAGAGAUCGGGAGGAAUACCAGUGGCGAAGGCGGCCUUCUGGACUGACACUGACGCUGAGGUGCGAAAGCGUGGGUAGCAAACAGGAUUACAUACCCGUGUAGUC
rnacentral:rRNA from 1 species